AGGGAAUCUUCGGCAAUGGACGAAAGUCUGACCGAGCAACGCCGCGUGAGUGAAGAAGGUUUUCGGAUCGUAAAACUCUGUUGUUAGAGAAGAACAAGGAUGAGAAGAGAAUGUUCAUCCCUUGACGGUAUCUAACCAGAAAGCCACGGCUAACUACGUGCCAGCAGCCGCGGUAAUACGUAGGUGGCAAGCGUUGUCCGGAUUUAUUGGGCGUAAAGCGAGCGCAGGCGGGUCUUUAAGUCUGAUGUGAAAGCCCCCGGCUUAACCGGGGAGGGUCAUUGGAAGCUGGGGAACUUGAGUGCAGAAGAGGAGAGUGGAAUUCCAUGUGUAGCGGUGAAAUGCGUAGAUAUAUGGAGGAACACCAGUGGCGAAGGCGGCUCUCUGGUCUGUAACUGACGCUGAGGCUCGAAAGCGUGGGGAGCAAAC
rnacentral:rRNA from 1 species